ensembl:snRNA U6 U6 spliceosomal RNA
GUGCUUGCUACGGCUGCACAUAUACUAAAAUUAGAUCGAUACAGAGAAGAUUAGCAUGGCCCCUGCGAAAGGAUGACACGCAAAUUCCAUAUUUUGUUCUUUUUU